UUAAAGUAAAAUAUAUUGUAAAAGUGUGAAUGUAUCCUCUUAAGUGUGUUAAUAGUAAUUAACCUGAAAAAAACGUUCAUUAUUGCUGCAACAUUUCAAUAAAGUGCAUACGAAUUUUUCUUGAAAAAAGUUGUAAUUGUAAAGGUUUUUAUGAACAUUUGUAAAGUGUGCAACGUAUUAAUGUGAAUAUGUAGUUGAAGUGUUUUUUAAAUGGCUGUAUUUUUAUUCUUUUACAAUGUUACCAAUUAUACACCGAGGUUUUUAGAAAACAGAAUCUGAGUUUGUACUGAAGAGGGACUUAAAUUACAAUUGAGUCCGAAAUGCAUAUGACAAAUCAAUAAAGGAAGUUCAUAACCUGAAUGCUGUAUAUGAUAGUCUACCGAACUGAAAAUCGGAUUAAAGAGACAAAUUCACAACGAAAAUAGCAGCAGCCAUAAGUGAUUUUCCAAAUAGAUGUUCUCUUUAGUCAAAUCUUAAGUUUUGUAAUUCUCCUGUUCUAGUAGCAACCAACAAAGAUCUGUUGAUCCAGAUCAAAAAACGUCUUUGCCAUUAAAUUAAUUCGCUGGAAUUAAGAAAAAUGAACUUUUUUUUUCAUAUUGUGUUUAUACAAUUUCAUGAUUUUCAAAAGUUUGUGAUUAACAUUUUUCUUUACAUCAAUUUUGGGAGCACAAGUAAUUGAGGCUUUAUCAGCCAUAACAAGAUCAUCAAAUGAUGUCUGUACAUUAAGGUAACUUUCAUUUGAUCCCAUUCUUUGGAUUCACUAUUUGUAACAUUAUCAUUUUCGGCAUCGAUAUGGAUUCCUAUAAAAACCUUCCUUUAAAAAAACAUUUGAAAUAGCAUUUUUAAUUAAUUUAUUUCAGUAUGAACCGAGCCUAUGCGUAGCUUGCAAAAGAUUUUAUUUUAUUUUGAUAUUUUAAUAUAACUAUCAAAAUGCUUUAAUAAAUAUCGAAUUACUUCAUAUCUUAUUCGUGUACAUCAUUUUAAUGACAGACGUAAUUUCUUGGUCCACUAGAUUUUAUUUACUUGUGCACUUGGGUGGAAGCAAUGCAGUUUUUAUAUUUUUAAGUGUUAUUCUUAUGUAGUUAUGAGCAAUGCAUCUGUCUAAAAACAAAAUAAUUUUCCCGUUUCUCGUAUCGCCUUUGAAUAAAGCGUGACCCGCUAAUUUCUAAAAUUGGACGUGGUUAUCCGUGAAUUUUUGAAUUUCUAUAUGGAAGUAAUUUUAAAAUAUUUUUAAAGCGUUGCAUUUGUACGGAAGAAAAUCCAAUGAGUUGCGUAACUUUACUAGCAAAAAACUUUAAAAUUGCAUAUGGUGUCAUUUGUUAUCAUAUUAAAAAAUCUUUUUUAUUAUUAAUGCAAGCUUAAUGGCAAAAAGCUUAA